rnacentral:lncRNA from 1 species
UUUUUUUGACGAUCAACGUGUUUUUUACUUUUUUAUUUUAUGUUCGGUCGUGAAAGAUGGGUGCCUCGUUCAUUUAAUUAUGCGUGUCUCGAGAUUAAAAGUGCUUAUUCUCCAUGUGCAAAAUUUAAAGUGCUUGUUUUCCUUGCUUUGUAAAAAUAAAAGACUCGUUUUUGGAAGUUGAUAAAAAGAACUCAGAUUUAAUUUGAAGCUUUUCCUUGUAGAUUUUGGGACUUCAAAAGUAUUUAUAUACAAAUGUAUAGUUAAAGGUUUCCAAACUAUGAUGCUAUAAACAAGGAUUUAUACCCGGGAAUCUU